AAAUGGCGCAAGCCUGAUGCAGCGACGCCUCGUGGGGGAUGGCGGCCUUCGGGUUGUAACCCCCUUUCAGCACAGACGAAGCGCAAGUGACGGUAUGUGCAGAAGAAGGACCCGGCCAACUACGUGCCAGCAGCCGCGGUAAUACGUAGGGUCCGAGCGUUGUCCGGAAUUACUGGGCGUAAAGAGCUCGUAGGUGGUUUGUCACGUUGUUCGUGAAAACCCACAGCUCAACUGUGGGCGUGCGAGCGAUACGGGCAGACUAGAGUACUGCAGGGGAGACUGGAAUUCCUGGUGUAGCGGUGGAAUGCGCAGAUAUCAGGAGGAACACCGGUGGCGAAGGCGGGUCUCUGGGCAGUAACUGACGCUGAGGAGCGAAAGCGUGGGGAGCGAACAGGAUUAGAUACCCUGGUAGUCCACGCCGUAAACGGUGGGUACUAGGUGUGGGUUUCCUUCCUUGGGAUCCGUGCCGUAGCUAACGCAUUAAGUACCCCGCCUGGGGAGUACGGCCGCAAGGCUAAAACUCAAAGAAAUUGACGGGGGCCCGCACAAGCGGCGGAGCAUGUGGAUUAAUUCGAUGCAACGCGAAGAACCUUACCUGGGUUUGACAUGCACAGGACGCUGGUAGAGAUAUCAGUUCCCUUGUGGCCUGUGUGCAGGUGGUGCAUGGCUGUCGUCAGCUCGUGUCGUGAGAUGUUGGGUUAAGUCCCGCAACGAGCGCAACCCUUGUCUCAUGUUGCCAGCACGUAAUGGUGGGGACUCGUGAGAGACUGCCGGGGUCAACUCGGAGGAAGGUGGGGAUGACGUCAAGUCAUCAUGCCCCUUAUGUCCAGGGCUUCACACAUGCUACAAUGGCCGGUACAAAGGGCUGCGAUGCCGUGAGGUGGAGCGAAUCCUUUCAAAGCCGGUCUCAGUUCGGAUCGGGGUCUGCAACUCGACCCCGGAAGUGGAGUCGCUA
rnacentral:rRNA from 1 species